rnacentral:rRNA from 1 species
GAUUAUUAAAUUAUUGUGAAUGUUUUACGUAAAGUAAUAUUUUGUUUUAUUAUUGGUAUAGAAUAAAUUAUUUAAAUUAUAGUUUAUUAGUAUAGUGAUAGAAUUUUGAAAUAUUUUAAAUGUUAAUUUUUUAUAAGAAGAAUUUGGUUUUUGUACCUUGUGUAUCAGGGUUGAUAAAGUUACUUUCAUUGAUUUGUAGUUCUCGAAUUUAUAAGAGUUAAGGAAUUUUGUAUUUUGUUGUUAAAUAAACAUUUAAAAGAUUUUUUUGGAAGUGAAAUGUUAUUCGUUUAUAAUUAUAUCUAGUUGUUUAAGAAAUUAAUUUAAUUAAGUAGGUUUAAUUGAACUGGGUUGUUUUUAUGGCUUUGGUUUAUUGAUUUAGUAAUUGUUUAAGGGAUAAGCUUUGAGCAAUAUUUCAAUGAAGGAAUGUAUGUAAAAAUAUUAGUAGGGUUGGAAGUUUCUAUCUUUAAGUGUGUUAUUACAAGUAUAUAUAUUGAUAUUAUUUUUUUUCCUUCUUGUUAUUUUAUUGAAUUAGUUAAUAAAAUUAUUUAUUUUUUUAAUAAUGAUUAAAUUAGUAUAGGAAUUUGUUAGGUUUAUUUAGAGUAGAUAUUGGGAUAAGGAAUUCGGCAAGUAGUUUUUCGCCUGUUUAUUAAAAACAUGUCCUUUUGAUAAUAAUUUAAGGUCUGGCCUGCCCACUGAAUUUUAAAUGGCCGCGGUAUUUUGACCGUGCAAAGGUAGCAUAAUAAUUAGUUUUUUUAUUGAAAGCUGGAAUGAAAGGUUGGACGAGAGAACAACUGUCUCUUUCUAAAUUAGUUGGAACUUUAUUUUUGAGUUAAAAAGCUCAAAUUUUUUUGAAAGACGAGAAGACCCUAUAGAAUUUUAUAUUUUUUUUGGUUAGGUUUUAUUGGAUGUUUAUAAUUUUGGUUUUAAAAAGUGUUUUGUUGGGGUGACAGAAAAAUUAAAUUAACUUUUUUUGUAUUUAUUCACUUGUUUGUGUUUUGCUGAUCCAUAUAUUUUGAUUAUAAGAUUAAAUUACCUUAGGGAUAACAGCGUUAUUUUAUUUGAGAGUUCUUAUCGAAAGUAAAGUUUGCGACCUCGAUGUUGGAUUAAAGUUAACUAUUGGUGUAGAGGCUAAUACGUUGGGUCUGUUCGACCUUUAAAAUUUUACAUGAUCUGAGUUUAAACCGGUGUGAGCCAGGUUGGUUUCUAUCUUCAAAUAAUUGAAACAUUUUAGUACGAAAGGACCAUUUGUUUAUAUUUAAUGUUAAUUUAUGAUUUCUAUUAAU